GGCGUCAUAAUUUUGAUUUAAAGUUUUUUCGUGACUGGAUCUUUCGGUAAAGUCACGUAGAAGGGAAAUAAUAAAAGAAUGAAAAUAAAAAAUAAUAUUCUCACGACGUUUCGAUUGCAAAACCACAUAAAUUGUGUUUUUCACACCUGAUGAUGAUUGCUUGCGUUGCAAUAGAAACGUCGUGACAGUUUUAUAAUGUUUUAUUUUUAUUAUUUCCCUUCUACGUGACUUUGGCGUCAUAAUUGUAAAGUCUUCGGUUAUUGCGUCACGCAGCGGGAAUGACGUCAUGUACCGUAGAAGCAAUGUCUGCGGGGAAAGGGGGUGUGGGCGAAGGAAUACGGCAAUGACGUCAUUCCACAGGCGGUUCAAUUAACAGUGGUAAUUGUCAAUUGCGACGAAUGACGUCAUGUAUCGCCGGGCGACGAGAUGACGUCAUCCCGCAGCAUUGUUUUUUAGCGCAGUGACGUCAUCGCGGGGCGGAGCUGCGCGGUCCAUACGGAGCGGAGCGACAUCGGCAGCAGCAUCAGCAGCAUCGUCUGCGCGAGCGGACAGCAGCAGCAGCAGCAUCAGUGAAGUAACAACAACAACAUCAUCAUCAUCAGCGCCAUUCACCGCGUCUCUCCCAUCAAUCAUCAUCAUCGUCAUUCCGCCUACCUCGUCCACCUCGUCCACCUCCUCACCUCCACCUCUCCUCCUCCUCUUCCUCGCCUCCGUGAUGGAUGCCGCCUCUAAGCAGCAGGACGGAGCUCAGCUCAUGGCGGAGGCCGACAAGAAAGUGAAGGGGGCGCAGAGCUUCCUCGGAGGCCUUUUUGGGGGACCGGCAAGACUCGCAGAAGCGUGCGAGAUUUACACGCGUGCCGCCAACUCGUUCAAGAUGGCUAAAAACUGGAGCGGGGCUGGCGAUGCGUUCUGCCACGCCGCACGCCUGCACCUACAGAUGCAGAACAAACACGACGCGGCUGUGAGCUACGUGGAUGCGGGCAAUGCCUACAAGAAGGCCGAUCCACAUGAGGCAAUCAACUGCCUCACCCGGGCCAUUGAGAUCUUCACCGACAUGGGUCGAUUCACAAUCGCCGCCAAGCACCACAUGACCAUUGCAGAAAUUCACGAGAGCGAGUUGGUGGACGUUGAGAAGUCGAUGGCCCAUUACGAGCAAGCGGCGGACUUCUACAGAGGGGAGGAGGCAAACAGUACGGCCAACAAGUGUCUGCUAAAGGUAGCGGCAUACGCGGCGCAGCUGGAGCAGUACCUGAAGGCCAUCGAGAUCUACGAACAGGUGGGCACCAGCACCAUGGACAGCUCUCUGCUGAAGAUCAACGCCCGCGAGAGCUUCUUCAAGGCGGCCGUGUGCCACUUCUGCGUGGACGCUCUGAACGCGCAGAUCGCCGUGGAGAAAUACGAGCAGAUGUUUCCUGCCUUCGCCGACUCGCGUGAAUGCAAAUUCGUCAAGAAACUACUCGAGGCUCACGAGGAGAACAACUUGGAAGCAUUCACCGAGACGGUGAAGGAGUUUGACUCCGGGGCGAGGAUGGACCAGUGGAUGACGACCAUGCUCCUGCGCAUCAAGAAAACCAUCCCGGACGACUCCGAGGGCGACAUGCGCUGAUCGAGCGAGCGAGCGCGCGCGUGGUACGCACGCACGUGUGCGUACGUGCGCGCGUGUGCGUACGUACGCAACGGCAGCACGGGUCUCCCCCCCCUCUUCCCCUCCUCGUGCAUCGUUAGUUAAAAGCCGUUCCCACCUCCAAAGAACCUUCGGCAUCCUUGUGGCAGUCGGGGCCAGCAGGCCCCGUGAACCGUGCCGACGAUCCCCCAGCGAGCAGCAGUCGCCGCGUCCCCGUGGCAGGCGAGUCGACGGAUCGCUGCCGUCCGUCCGUCCUCGCAAUCCCGUGAUGUGACAAUGCACCCAGAUCCUGCACAACAACAACAACCGCCAUUCGCCGUUAAGUGGCGGUGACGUCACCACAGCGCUUGUGCCAGGCCACGUGCACGUUGAGGCCACGUGAAGUGUCGAACGCCCGCCGGCAGGAGGUCACGGGACAGACCCAUCCGGUGCCAUGGGUUGCCUGACUGAGAUGACUGGCCGAUGCACCACCUGUGCCUCCCAUCCUGAACAAACGCACAUACACACACGAGCUGGUCACAUCAUCGCUCUCCACCUGGUGAAGUGGACGCCUUCUUGCACAGCAUCCCAUCAUCUUGCACAAACCCUCCUACUUUCCUCAGCAGUUUCAAUUAUAAAAUGGGACCUUUUUGC